rnacentral:rRNA from 1 species
GAGUUUGAUCCUGGCUCAGGAUGAACGCUGGCGGCGUGCUUAACACAUGCAAGUCGAACGAAGCGCCUUAUUUGAUUUUCUUCGGAACUGAAGAUUUGGUGACUGAGUGGCGGACGGGUGAGUAACGCGUGGGUAACCUGCCCUGUACAGGGGGAUAACAAUCAGAAAUGACUGCUAAUACCGCAUAAGACCACAGCACCGCAUGGUGCAGGGGUAAAAACUCCGGUGGUACAGGAUGGACCCGCGUCUGAUUAGCUGGUUGGUGAGGUAACGGCUCACCAAGGCGACGAUCAGUAGCCGGCUUGAGAGAGUGAACGGCCACAUUGGGACUGAGACACGGCCCAAACUCCUACGGGAGGCAGCAGUGGGGGAUAUUGCACAAUGGGGGAAACCCUGAUGCAGCAACGCCGCGUGAGUGAAGAAGUAUUUCGGUAUGUAAAGCUCUAUCAGCAGGGAAGAAAGUGACGGUACCUGACUAAGAAGCCCCGGCUAACUACGUGCCAGCAGCAGCCG